UACAUAAUAUGAUUUCAGGAUACGUAAGGCGUUCGUGUAAGAUGAUUAUAUGUAAUUAGUCUUCCUAAUUAUGAGACAACAUUUUCUAAAUGUUCCACAUGACAAAAGACCGAGUGUCGCUGAAUGCUGUUCCUUCAUUUUAUUUUAAGCUACAAUACAACAUUCAGCGCCUUCGCACUCGACUCGCCUUAAUAGAACUUCUGUGCUACUAUUCUAAACUUGUAUAAAGAAUCUCGGGCAGCCGUACUUUAUCUUCCUGCAAAAGAUCAGUUUGAGUCGUCGAAUAAUUUAAUUGAGCCCCUCUUAGAGAUUUACUAUGAAACCCAAGAACUCUCAUUUCCCCAUUAUCAUCAAGUUGAUAAAGUAUGCCUGAUAAGCCGAUACCUGAGGAGUCUGUUUGCAAAUAAUAAGGUUUGCUAAAAUCAGGAUGUUGUAAUUGAAUAACAUCUACGAAAGUCCUUUUUAUUGUCUCAAAAGCUUUUUGUUCAUUGACACCCCACUGCCACGUCACUCCUUUUUUCAAUAAAUGACACAAUGAUUGUACAUUUUCGCUAUAAUUAGGGAUAAAUCUUCUAUAAAAGUUACACAGUCCCAAGAAAGCUCUUAAUUGUUUUAUUUUUCUUGGAGCUGGAAAUUCCUGUAUCGCUUUAAUUUUAUCCGGAUCGGUUUUUAUUCCAUCUACUGAUACUAU